UACGUAGGUGGCAAGCGUUGUCCGGAAUUAUUGGGCGUAAAGCGCGCGCAGGCGGUCUUUUAAGUCUGAUGUGAAAGCCCACGGCUCAACCGUGGAGGGUCAUUGGAAACUGGAGGACUUGAGUGCAGAAGAGGAAAGUGGAAUUCCACGUGUAGCGGUGAAAUGCGUAGAGAUGUGGAGGAACACCAGUGGCGAAGGCGACUUUCUGGUCUGUAA
rnacentral:rRNA from 1 species